rnacentral:tRNA from 1 species
CGGGGAGUGGCGCAGUUUGGUAGCGCAUCUGGUUUGGGACCAGAGGGUCGCAGGUUCAAAUCCUGUCUCCCCGACCA